UGGGUAGUGUGGUCAAAGAUGACUUCUGCAGAUAAAAACAUCAUCUUGUAUGCAAGAGAUACGACCCUCUUUUAUAUAGUUGAACUGCAAAGACUACCUUACUGUUCACUCCCAGAAUGGCAAAAAGAUAGAUGAAGAUGGAGAAAUGUGCACCUAACACUGCAUCUUUAUGAGGGCGUGGUGAAAACCUCUGCUACCAUACUGGAUACAAGGUCUUUAACUUCUCAGCACCAGUUUUAUGGAGCCCCCACCGCUAAGCAAGUAUGCAAAAUGCAGUGCUGCUUCGCAUUGGGAAAUCCCCAAUCUGGUGCCAAGAGGUUCAUAAAUACAGUAAUGGACCCUCUUAUGUCAAAAGUGAGUACUGUUUAACAGCGUAAGUUGGAACAGCCUUCAGGAUGCUUUGCAGCUGCAGUUGUUCCACUGCAAGACAUCACAAACUUCAUGAUGAUGGUUGUCACACCAGGUCCUGGAAAGGCAACCUACUUCAGUCUGCAAAGUGAACUAAAAGGGAAUGGUUGUUCAUACAUGGCCCUGAUGCCACUGACAUAAGAAACGCAAUGACAAGAGCGAUGAAGUAGGAAUUUGGUGGCAGAUGGUCAGGUCUGCAGGAAGUGUCCACCCAGCUUUGUUUGGCCCAUAUUCUGAAACAACUAGAAUAAACACUUAGUGUCAUAAUUUAUAAGCAUAUCAGUACCAAUAAAUCAG
rnacentral:lncRNA from 1 species